rnacentral:rRNA from 1 species
UACGUAGGUGGCAAGCGUUAUCCGGAAUUAUUGGGCGUAAAGCGCACGCAGGGGGCUUCUUAAGUCUGACGUGAAAGCUCCUGGCUUAACCGGGAGAGGUCGUUGGGUACUGGGAGGCUUGAGGCAAGGAGAGGGGCGUAGAAUUCCCGGUGUAGUGGUGGAAUGCGUAGAUAUCGGGGGGAAUACCAGAGGCGCAAGCGGCGCCCUGGCCUUGGCCUGACGCUCAGGUGCGAAAGCGUGGGGAGCGAACGGG